GUGGGGAAUAUUGGACAAUGGGCGAAAGCCUGAUCCAGCCAUGCCGCGUGAGUGAUGAAGGCCUUAGGGUUGUAAAGCUCUUUUACCGGAGAAGAUAAUGACGGUAUCCGGAGAAAAAGCCCCGGCUAACUUCGUGCCAGCAGCCGCGGUAAUACGAAGGGGGCUAGCGUUGUUCGGAUUUACUGGGCGUAAAGCGCACGUAGGCGGAUUGGUCAGUUAGGGGUGAAAUCCCGGAGCUCAACUCCGGAACUGCCUUUAAUACUGCCAAUCUUGAGUCCGUGAGAGGUGAGUGGAAUUCCUAGUGUAGAGGUGGAAUUCGUAGAUAUUAGGAAGAACACCAGUGGCGAAGGCGGCUCACUGGCACGGUACUGACGCUGAGGUGCGAAAGCGUGGGGAGCAAACAGGAUUAGAUACCCUAGUAGUCC
rnacentral:rRNA from 1 species